GAAGUGGUGUGACGCGACUUUGUUUGAAGCCUAGUAGGUUUAGAAGCUGCGACCUAAAGCGGCUGCCUAUUUGCAAGAUUGGCUUUAUAUUAGGGCCGAUUCUACUAUGCACCGACCAUCUGGGU
rnacentral:ncRNA from 1 species